rfam:Thiobacillus denitrificans strain RG RG23, whole genome shotgun sequence.
UCGGGGCACCAGCCCCCGGCGUCAGGAUUCCCCAUCCGCAAGACGGUGUCCCGUCCAAGCCUGG